GCGAAAGUAGUUUAAUAAAAACUUAAGCUUUGGGAGAUUAUAAUGUUACUAAGUAACCUUUCGAA
rnacentral:tRNA from 1 species